rnacentral:pre_miRNA from 2 species
UCUUAUGGAUGAAGAAAUAAAGUAGCUUCUUGAGAUGGAAGCUACUUCUGGUGAAGAUGCUGUGAA